CCCUUAGAUGUUCUGGGCUGCACGCGCGCUACACUGAUGCGCUCAACGAGUUUACGACCUUGCCCGGAAGGGUUGGGUAAUCUUUUUAAAACGCAUCGUGAUGGGGAUAGAUUAUUGCAAUUAUUAAUCUUUAACGAGGAAUUCCUAGUAAGCGCGAGUCAUCAGCUCGUGCUGAUUACGUCCCUGCCCUUUGUACACACCGCCCGUCGCUCCUACCGAUUGAGUGGUUUAGUGAGAUCCUUGGAUCGGCCCUGUCGCGGCUGGCAACGGCCGCGUCGGCGCGUCGAGAAGACGAUCAAACUUGAUCAUUUAGAGGAAGUAAAAGUCGUAACA
rnacentral:rRNA from 1 species